rnacentral:rRNA from 1 species
GAUGAACGCUGGCGGCGUGCCUAAUACAUGCAAGUCGAGCGAACAGACGAGGAGCUUGCUCCUCUGACGUUAGCGGCGGACGGGUGAGUAACACGUGGAUAACCUACCUAUAAGACUGGGAUAACUUCGGGAAACCGGAGCUAAUACCGGAUAAUAUAUUGAACCGCAUGGUUCAAUAGUGAAAGACGGUUUUGCUGUCACUUAUAGAUGGAUCCGCGCCGCAUUAGCUAGUUGGUAAGGUAACGGCUUACCAAGGCAACGAUGCGUAGCCGACCUGAGAGGGUGAUCGGCCACACUGGAACUGAGACACGGUCCAGACUCCUAUGGGAGGCAGCAGUAGGGAAUCUUCCGCAAUGGGCGAAAGCCUGACGGAGCAACGCCGCGUGAGUGAUGAAGGUCUUCGGAUCGUAAAACUCUGUUAUUAGGGAAGAACAAAUGUGUAAGUAACUAUGCACGUCUUGACGGUACCUAAUCAGAAAGCCACGGCUAACUACGUG